CGUGAACAUCCAGAGUUAGGUCUCAAGGCUCUUCUGGUUCUAAGUCCUAACAAACAAUGAUCUUUUCAGUGAACUGUAGAAUUCUGGAAAGAAUAAGCGUACCUCCAGGCUGCUUACAUCAAUAGCUUACACGUGCUUCCUGAUGCCUGCCUUAACAACAAAAAAUUCGUGUCCAUAGGAAAUAUUUAUUGCAUGCCCACUCUGGGCUAGGCACUGUUUUAGAGGACACCGCAGCUAUCAAGGCAGAUGUGGUCCCUGUUCCCAUGAGGCUCCUACAUUUGAGUGGAGGAAGAUGUACUUGUCUACGUUGGGUGAUGAUUAGUGCCAUGAAGAACAAAACGGAUACAGUGAGUAAUGUGGACAGGGCUAUCUUAGCUAUCACUCUAAUAAGGUGAUAUCUGAGGAGAGAUCUGAAUGAAGUGAGGAUACAAUGGAUA
rnacentral:lncRNA from 10 species